GUUAAAACUUAUCAAAUUCAUGUAUACGUGUACCCUAAUUCCACAAUCCACAAUUUGAAGGAACCUUACAUAAUUCGUGUCCCACUUCCAUUUGUUUACGUGUCCUCACAAAACGUAAACAUUAAGUAAAAUUCAAGUAUAUAUAUAGGAAGUUGAAAAGCCAUUUGAAAUGCUCAGAUCCUUCUUUCUUUCUCACUCGAUCUAUGUUCCAUAUUUUUUCUAAAUAUUACACCCAAAGCGCUGCCCCGUUUUAAGUGUUUUAACUCCCGAUCACCGCUACCCUUUCUGAUUGAUCUGAAGCCCAUAACGCAUGUCAGGGCACUGCUCGACUAAGUUUGUUGGGAUUCUGUCUCGGGACAUAGUCACAGACACCAUUGGACUCUGAGGUUACCAAUGGAUGGUCGAGUGACAAAUACUGUGGGUAGUUGGUUGAUAUAUGGAAACAUUGUAAUUACAGUAGAUUGGAAUAAGAGUUGGACACGACACCAAAAAGGCUUACAGAAGUGGCUUGAUUUAUUAAUUAUAUCAAAUUAAGAAAUAUUGUUUUAUGUAAUUGGGUUAUCCCUUAUUGAAGCUACCUUUGUAAAACAUGGAUUUAUCCCAUCUAUUUAAUAAAUAAAAUCCGGUGUUUUCUAAACUCUGAUAUUUUUCCUAACUCACGGUCCUGAUGAAAUUUCCGCUACAAUAUUUUUCAAAAUAAUCACCGGUACCACUUGGCUGUUCGCGGCUCCCGAUUCCGUCCAGGGUGGGUCGGGGGUCGUGACAAUAUGUAUGUGUGAGCUAAGGUGUGCAUGUGUAUAGUUAUGAUUAGUUUUAUGAAUGCAUGUAAGUAUGUAGUUAUGUAUGCAGGUAGGUAUAUAUGUAGGUAAUGGUGUACGUAUGUACGUGACUAGGUAUGUAUGUAUGUAGUUAUGUAUGUAUGUAUGAAUGUAAAUACGUAUGUGAAGACGUAAUCGUGUAUGUAUGUAAGUAGAUGCGUAGGUAUGCCAGAAAAGGAAUGUAUGUAUGUACGUAGUUAUGUAUGUAUUGUAUACGUGGUUUCAAUACAUUUAAGUGUUGACGUUAUUAACAGUGUGCCUUGAGAAUGAAAUGUAAUGCAGGUGCACUAUUGAAGUUUCGCCAAGGAUUAGACACCCGGAUGGAAUGAUUAAAUCUAAAAAAAAUAACGGGAUGGAAAGUAUAUGUGGAUGGAACGUAACGAGACUACAUGAUUAAGAAUCUUGUUUGUAUAUAAUGUAUGCUAAUGUUGCGAAUGUAUGUGGUGGAUGCAGGUUGUACGAAUCACAGAUUAUCAUCACAAGGAGUAGCGAUCAAAGACCGAGUCACAAGAUAGAUUGUACGGGAAUGCUUGAGUAUGUAAAUUGAUAGACAUAAGUCAUGCUUUUAUUUUGUAAAUGAGUACGAAGGAUGCAUAUAUUGUAAAAGAGUUAUUUUAUAAUGAACUUUCAAGUAAGUCAAAACGUUUAUAAUGAAAGAAAUUUUAUGGUACGUAUUUCCGC